UCACCAGAUUAGGCCAACAAAACCAAGCAAAGUUAAUGUGGUAUAAGGCAGACGCUAAAGGUGUAAAGGGAGUGUUCAUGGAGCAGUUGAAUGGCUGCAGAAGCUCAUCCAGGUCAGCCCCUCCUUGAGAUGCAGAUCAUCCGUGAUCACCUGAUGGUUCCGGACACAGGGAGGGCUAAGCUCUCGUCGACCUCUCAAAGACAGCCUAGCAACACCCUCUGUUCUUAUCAUCCGGACACCCACACACUGCCUCUCUCUUCUUCACCACCUCCCCCAGGCCUCCCACCCAGACCCUCAGUCCUUGGAGAAGACCCCAGGCCAACGGUGAACAAGGGGCUCCUGAAUGGGCCCUGGACUGGCCUUUGUCUGGCCCUACUGCAGAGUCCCUUUAUUUACACAGUCUUUAACGCUGUAUGUUUUCUUGUCUCUUAAUUGCAUUGGCCUUUGCUGCCCCUUGGUCAAUCAAUACCAUCUCUCCAAUGACAUCAGCAACUCUAUUCAGCGAGGCCUCACCAGGUGAUGGGUGUUUCGUGGGAGAGCUGGUGGGAACGAGCCCUGUAAAUGUAGACCCACCGCCCUCUUUCCUUCCAUCACUGAGUCUGUGUACACAUAUAUAUAUCUGUCUACAAAACCCUGUCUGUCUAUGUACCCCAACCAUAUAGCAACAUACAAUAUCUGUAUGUACAGUAUGAUGGUUUCCUACUAUCUAUAUACAACCCUCUGUCUCUUUGUUAAUUCCCAAAUGGUGCACUCAUGCGGGCACGUGUUUUUUGUGGAGGAGGGUGGGUCUUCUUCAGCUUCAGGCUCAGCACUCUGGAGUCCAUAGGUGAGCUAACUGCAUCAUAAGUCUGGUUGAAGCGACAAUCAGUGCCAUCAAAACAAUUUUGCCGACCCUUGACUCUAUAGAAGAGCAGGAGAGAGAGGGAGUUGACAUGCCUUUACCAACCCUGAGUGCGUGUGACCAAGCACAUUAAUCAUAAGAGGUAUAACCCUCUCCUGUGUCCAAUUCAGCGAUGAUUCUCUAGUGCCGCACCAUGGCAAUGUUUAGACAGAGCCGGACAUAAUUAUCUUUUUGUGUACUUUAAUAAGGAGACAUCCGAGUGUUCAGACGACAGGGGCACACACGCCACAAAACUACCGUACAGUGAUAUUAUCCCCUUCAUUCCGUGUAAUUAAAACAUAAAUAAUUAAAUGCCACUAACUAACAUAACUGAUAUGCAAAUUUCGACGAUUUAGUGAGUUGAAGAACACAGGGAUUUUUUUUUCGCAAAUGGGGACCAUUUAAAGUUGACCUUUGGAAAUGUUUUUUUUUAAUGCAAUGUGAUGGUGCUGUUUAAUUUGAAGAGGUACUUAUCUCAAAGUCAACAUCUUACUUCUGUUUUCCUGACACACACUCAGUCACCAUAUAUUAGGCAGUAGCCUGGCAACCACAAGAGUAGAGUCGUACCAAAUGGAUAUGUUUGCAGUAUGACAAGCCCGGUGUGCUCCUCACCGCUGACCCCGCCUGCCAUUUUGUUUCUGUCCUGCGAAGGUGUCAGUGAUAAACGUUACCUUGUCUCAGCAGGUGUGCCUGGAUGGAGGGCCCUGCCGCACGGAGGGGGUCACCAACCCCACUGUGUUUCCCCCAUUUAUUUGAAUAAUGGGCCAUUAGGACGGCUGGAUAUCCAAUGUUAAAGUAGCCGUAUGUGGCUCCUACAUAAAAGACAUAAUUACCUGAGAGAGGGAGGAUGUGUUGGUGCACACUUUUCCUCAGCUGUGCUCCAGAGCUCAGAUUGAACACUCUCUCCUGCCAUUAGGUGGCGACAGAGAGAAUUUGAAGGCCCUGGCUAUGGUUUACACACAAACAUGAACACAACUGCUGAACAAAAUGUUAGAACAAAUUUAGUCAAGAAGUAGAUGUCUGAAAAGGAACCUGUGGAAUUUCAAUUAAAAUUCCUGCAUAUUAGAGUCAUUUUAAGUCAAAUCACAACACAGUUUGGGGAUUUACAACUUGGUGUUAAAUUGAUCAUCGCAGCUUGACUUUUUUUGGUCAGAAAGCACUUAUUCAUGUUUCAAUUCAAAUGUAUUCAAAUAGGCGACAUACAAUUAAUUCAGUUUCCAGAGAGAAUGUGUCUCUAAAACUACAGUAUGUGUCUUUUAAACUAUUUUCAGGCAAUUACUGUUCUCGUUGAAUUGCAUAGUAUCAUGGUGAACAGAGAGUGGGCAAUUUGUAAACCUUUGCCUUGCUGAGAGAUAGAGUUGUCCUUUUUUGUCUGCAUUGUGGCUCAUUUUGCCUUUUAUAAUUUUAGUUCAAGAGAGACUUGCAGUGCAGUCGGAUUGGAUUGGAAAUUUGGAGUGGUGUUUAUAUGAACCAAAGAGAUUUCCAAUUAAGGAUGCAUUCUUUAUCAUUUAUUUGCCCUUGGGGUUUUAUUCCUCAAUUGCUAUCACCUUAUAAAAGCAUCCUUUUAGCGCAAAGAAUAGAAGCCCAUUUUCAUGACCUCCUCUAAUGCGUUUCAAUCCAUCUUCACUGCCUCGAAAAAAGUUUUCACCUCUCCACAAAACAUGUUAAUUGCUAUCGUGGGCCCAGUACAAAGAAAAUAUCUACACGUUAAUUAUCCAAAUAUAUUGGCAACCCAUCUGCAGACAGCCAUUGAAAUCACUAAAUUGUGUUUUCUCCUUUUCGUCUUUCAUUUUGGACACAUUGUGAAUCAAAAGGCUUUAAAAAUGUGCAGAUGGGUAAUCCUUGUGUCUGCAAGGAGCAGCCUGGUUCAAGGUGAGUGUUUCAUGCCCCUAUAAGCCCUUCUGUUUCGCUCCAUUGUGCUGUUUAGGUUAUAUCCUGAUGGGAUGUUCACCAUACUUAAAUGGGGACUUUUCUUGCACACAUGCAGACAAACACACACACACACACACACACACACACACUAAACACACACACCAAACACACACACACUAACUCAUGCACUCAUAUUUAUGUGCACACGUACACUGCUCUACAUGACUAGACCCACACACACACACAGACUCCCAGGAAAUCUUGGCCUUCACUGUACAAUGAUGGGUCAUUAAUAAUAAUGUAAUUACUAAUUGUAAUGUGAUUUAAAGAGAAUAAAAUGUAUUCCUGUUCAGCAUUGUGCAGAAAUAGUCAUGUGAAAGAUUUGAACCUCAAACUUCAAAGAUCUAUACAGUGUGUGCGCCAUAAGAAGAAAUCCUUAACCUCUGAGGUUUAAUGGGGCAAAACUGUGGAGAGUCUCUUGAAGGGCGGUUAAAAUACAUUCUUAUCGUGUUUUAUAGCUGUGCCAUGACUGGCUAUCUUUGUCUGAAAUGAUUCAUCAUCAUGACAGCCUUGGUCCAAAAUGCCAUCGGAAAAUCAUAAAGUUAAAUCUCACUUUGAUUAUAACAUUUUGUUAGAUACCCAGUUUCACUAAUGAGUAAGUGUCAUUAUGUAUUCACCUUUUCUCAUAUUGAGUUGGAUGUAACUGUAUUAUCUCUUCGAUUUACACACGGCAUCUAUUGCACGUCUGUCCGUCCUGGAAGAGGGAUCCCU